rnacentral:rRNA from 1 species
CCUACGGGUGGCUGCAGUGGGGAAUAUUGCACAAUGGGGGAAACCCUGAUGCAGCGACGCCGCGUGGAGGAAGAAGGUCUUCGGAUCGUAAAGCUCUGUUGUUGGUGAAGAAGGAUAGAGGUAGUAACUGGCCUUUAUUUGACGGUAAUCAACCAGAAAGUCACGGCUAACUACGUGCCAGCAGCCGCGGUAAUACGUAGGUGGCAAGCGUUGUCCGGAUUUAUUGGGCGUAAAGCGAGCGCAGGCGGAAGAAUAAGUCUGAUGUGAAAGCCCUCGGCUUAACCGAGGAACUGCAUCGGAAACUGUUUUUCUUGAGUGCAGAAGAGGAGAGUGGAACUCCAUGUGUAGCGGUGGAAUGCGUAGAUAUAUGGAAGAACACCAGUGGCGAAGGCGGCUCUCUGGUCUGCAACUGACGCUGAGGCUCGAAAGCAUGGGUAGCGAACAGGAUUAGAUACCCUUGUAGUC